rnacentral:rRNA from 1 species
UCCCCAGACUCCUACGGGAGGCAGCAGUGGGGAAUCUUCCCCAAUGGGCGAAAGCCUGACGGAGCAACGCCGCGUGAUCGAAUGAAGGCCUUCGGGUUGUAAAGAUCUGUUGACAGGGACGAAUAAGCAAUGCGAAUAGUUUUGUGUAUGACGGUACCUGUUUAGAAAGCUCCGGCUAACUACGUGCCAGCAGCCGCGGUAAUACGUAGGGGGCAAGCGUUGUCCGGAAUUACUGGGUGUAAAGGGUGAGUAGGCGGCAUGGUAAGCCAGAUGUGAAAGCCUUGGGCUUAACCCGAGGAUUGCAUUUGGAACUAUCAAGCUAGAGUACAGGAGAGGAAAGCGGAAUUCCUAGUGUAGCGGUGAAAUGCGUAGAUAUUAGGAAGAACACCAGUGGCGAAGGCGGCUUUCUGGACUGAAACUGACGCUGAGGCACGAAAGCGUGGGGAGCGAACAGGAUUAGAUACCCCUGUA